GUCACUUUGCCGGAGUGGUUAACGGGAUCGCCUGCUACGCUGCUAGCUAGUCAGCGGUUGGUCUUUGACCGCGAGUGUUCAAAUCGCUCAGGUGACG
rnacentral:tRNA from 1 species